rnacentral:lncRNA from 1 species
GACCAAAAAGUUAAAGGGCUUCUGAAUGGAGUUAUAGUCGCUUCAAUUGUCUCGUUUGUGUAUUGUUACAGUUUUUGUGUGAAUAUUGUAAGAAAACUUUUUAAAUUUAUUUUACUGUUUUAUUAGAAUCGUGAAAUAGUAAAUAAAAGAAUUUAUAUAAUUAUUUCAAUGAUAAAUUUGUUUAUAAAAAUGCAGUGGAUGCUGAUAGAAAAGAAGAAUGUUGAAUCCAUUUCCAUCAUUUGGACAUCAAUAAAUAUACUAUGUGAUUUUACUUGGUUGAUCUAUGGUGUAUUACAUGCUGACCUUUAUAUUGUUGUAAGUUUCUUAGUUCUUAUUUAUUUUAACCCUU